rnacentral:rRNA from 1 species
UACGAAGGGGGCUAGCGUUGCUCGGAAUUACUGGGCGUAAAGGGCGCGUAGGCGGUUCGUACAGUCAGACGUGAAAUUCCUGGGCUCAACCUGGGGGCUGCGUUUGAUACGUGCGGGCUUGAGUUCGGAAGAGGGUCGUGGAAUUCCCAGUGUAGAGGUGAAAUUCGUAGAUAUUGGGAAGAACACCGGUGGCGAAGGCGGCGACCUGGUCCGAUACUGACGCUGAGGCGCGAAAGCGUGGGGAGCAAACAGG